UCUUAUCAAUGCACAGAUCCAAGCAGUGAAACAAACUCACGUCCAUAACAAUGUCAUACAAAUAUCAUUACAAAAUUUCUACAGUACAAUAUAUAUUCUUUGCAUGAUCCAAAAUAUUUGGUGGCCCCUAAAAAUGAUUACUUUCUAUAUUUGAAUCUUUCUUCAAAAUCAGAUUAUCAAAUAAAAGUGGAAAAAUCACUAUAAAUUAAAUUGCUCUCGGACCAGAAAAGGGAGCUUUUGAGCAAAAUUUGACUCCAUUAUAACAUUUUCUUGAUUUCCACACAUAGAACUAUACAGGUGCAGUCUGGGGUGGGGACACAACAUUUAGAUUUUUACAUUUUGUACUUCACAAAAAGAAAAGACGACAAAACAAUUAAAAAAGUAAAACCAUUAGAUUCAUUACUCCAAGUCUCGUGGCCAUAUUUAUACCCCCACCCCCGAAAAACUUCAAGGCGGUACAGUAUUUACUGCAUUUAUAUUUCAUAAAUAACGAAUGUUCACAUACAUAAGGGCCAGUUACUUCCAUUUUAUCCCCACAUGAAGUAUCCUAUUUAAGUGUCCAUUAACGGAUAUCUCCUCUAAUUAAAAAAAAAAAAAGUUUUACAUUCUUUUACGAGGAGACAGUGACAAAAAUAUGCCCGUUAGAAAGGAUAUUCACUAGCAGCUGAAUGGAUUACAGUGAAUUGCUCUAUUAUUAUUAUUAUUAUUAUUAUGAAACAUGGGAGCCUGAACAGUGGGGAAAGGCAUUCAUAAAAAAACUAUAAAAAACCUUAAAAAACACACAGCAAAGAAAAAAAAUAAAAGGUAAACAUACCUUCUGAGGUCUCUACAACAUAAAAUAUUCAAGUAGAAAAUUACAACACAUAGCAGCAUUCAUAAGUGUAAGACGACACACUUAACAUUCAUAAUAUCUGCCUACAUCUUGUUUCUUUACAUUUAUUUUUCAG